rnacentral:tRNA from 1 species
GGGGCUGUGGCUCAGUUGGCAGAGCGCUUGUCUAUUGUACACAAAGGCCCGGGUUCAAUCCCCAGCCCUG